CAACAGUGGAAUAAUAUAGUUUAUUCAAGAUAUUGAUUCUAAUAACAUAGUGAAAAUAUAAAUAUUAUUAUGUAAACAUGCUAUUAUUUUCUUAUUAUGAGAGUGGCUAUACAAUUUUGAUUUGCCUUUUACAGACAAUGGUACCGCCACAAUCAAAAGAGAUCAAACAUAACCAGAACACCGGAAUACAAUAUCCAACAAACCAGAUCCACCUUUAACAACUUUUAGCACCGAAACAGAGUGUUUACCAUCAUCGCUGGCGACCAUGUCAACACAUCUUCUAUUGGCGACUUCCACCCAUACAACUAUUAUUCCAUCUUCCCACAAUGCAAUGUCAACAAAAUUUAUCUCAAGUAAACGCUCAUGUGUAUGGUCUAGUUUGAGAACUGUUUCUGCUUCUUCAUCGCAAACAAGUAUCAGUGAUAAUACAAUCAGUGCGCAUAUGGAAUUUAUUACCUCCGAC
rnacentral:lncRNA from 1 species